AUCAUCAAGAUGAUGAAUUCAGAAAAAAUCUUAGGACACCUUCUGAAACAGCACGAGCGUGCUGUUUAUGAGAAAGAUUUUUAUGUUUUCUGAUAAU